rnacentral:rRNA from 1 species
UAAUAGCUCACUGGUCAAGUGAUUUCGCGCCGACAAUGUAACGGGGCUCAAGCACGCCACCGACGUUCUGUCAUUCACACAUCAUCCAGGUCGCAAGAUCCAGGAGUGUGGAUGGGUAGGAGAGCGUCGUGCAACUAGUGAAGCGGUGGAGGAAUCCAACCGUGGAAGUUGCACGAGUGAGAAUGUAGACAUGAGUAGCGAAAGAUGGGUGAGAAACCCGUCCGCCGAAUGACCAAGGGUUCCUGGGCCAGGCUAAUCCGCCCAGGGUAAGUCGGGACCUAAGGCGAGGCCGUCAGGCGUAGUCGAUGGACAACUGGUUGAUAUUCCAGUACCCGCUUUAAUUCGCCCAUAACGAAUCCACUAAUGCUAAGAGUCUGAAUCCUGUUCGGCGUAAGCCGCGUGGGUGGAUGGCUCGAACCGGUGUGGUAGUAGUUAAGCAAUGGUGUGACACAGGAAGGCAGUCCAACCCGGGCGAUGGUUGUCCCGGGGUAAGGUGGUAGGGAGUGAUGUAGGUAAAUCCGCAUCACAUAUAUCCUGAGAGCUGAUGCCGAGCCGUAAGGCGAAGUGGAUGAUCCUAUGCUGUCAAGAAAAGCAUCUAGCGAGAAUUAUUGCGGCCCGUACCCGAAACCGACACAGGUGGUCAGGUAGAGAAUACCAAGGCGAUCGAGAGAAUCAUGGAUAAGGAACUCGGCAAAAUGCCCCCGUAACUUCGGGAGAAGGGGGGCCCUUCGACGUGUAGGAAUUUACUUCCGAAGCGUUGGAAGGCCGCAGAGACCAGGCUCAAGCGACUGUUUACCAAAAACACAGGUCCGUGCGAAGUUGCAAUACGAUGUAUACGGACUGACGCCUGCCCGGUGCUGGAAGGUUAAGGGGACUGGUUAGCCGCAAGGCGAAGCUGAGAACUUAAGCCCCAGUAAACGGCGGUGGUAACUAUAACCAUCCUAAGGUAGCGAAAUUCCUUGUCGGGUAAGUUCCGACCUGCACGAAUGGCGUAACGACUUGAGCGCUGUCUCCACCAUGAACUCGGCGAAAUUGCAUUACGAGUAAAGAUGCUCGUUACGCGCGGAAAGACGGAAAGACCCCGGGACCUUUACUAUAUCUUGAUAUUGGUACUCGGAACGUUCUGUGUAGCAUAGGUGGGAGACUUUGAAGCGGCACGCCAGUGUUCGUGGAGUCAAAAAAUGAAAUACCACUCUGAACGUUUUGAGUUUCUAACCUCGGCCCAUUAUCUGGGUCAGGGACAGUGUCUGGUGGGUAGUUUAACUGGGGCGGUUGCCUCCCAAAAAGUAACGGAGGCGCUCAAAGGUUCCCUCAGCCUGGUUGGUAAUCAGGUGUCGAGUG